GAGGAGGCCGUCCAGCAGAUGGCGGAUGCCCUGCAGUACCUGCAGAAGGUCUCUGGAGACAUCUUCAGCAGCCUCCUGGUUUCCUGUGGUGGCUCUGCUCUCACAACUCAUGCUUUUCCUCCCAUUGGAGGGCCUAUUCCUUCACGUUUUCCUGCAGCCAACAAAUAUUUACCCAGCAGUGCUCGUGUGCAAGGCAGUGUGGGAAUCUCUAUAUAUCCAGCCACGGAUAAGGCAACAUACCUCUCCACCUGGAGCGCACAUUCUGGCAGGAGAGAAAGACCUAAAUAAGCAAUAGAUGAUUAGUUCUUCAAUAACAGUUGUGACAAGGUCUAUUGAUAAUAUUUUGUAAUCACUAAUAUUCAUAUAAACCGUGCACAACCAUU
rnacentral:lncRNA from 10 species